rnacentral:rRNA from 1 species
UACGGAGGGUGCAAACGUUGCUCGGAAUCAUUGGGCGUAAAGCGCACGUAGGCGGCCUAUCAAGUCGGAUGUGAAAGCCCUGGGCUCAACCCAGGAAGUGCAUCCGAAACUGACAGGCUUGAAUGCCGGAGGGGCCCAGAGAAUUCCCGGUGUAGAGGUGAAAUGCGCAGAUAUCGGGAGGAACACCAGUAGCGAAGGCGGCACUCUGGGCCGGUACUGACGCUGAGGAGCGAAAGCGUGGGGAGCAAACAGG